rnacentral:rRNA from 1 species
AACGCGAAGAACCUUACCUGGUCUUGACAUGUACGGAAUCCUCCAGAGACGGAGGAGUGUCUUCGGGAGCCGUAACACAGGUGCUGCAUGGCUGUCGUCAGCUCGUGACGUGAGAUGUUGGGUUAAGUCCCGCAACGAGCGCAACCCUUGUCAUUAGUUGCCAUCAUUCAGUUGGGCACUCUAAUGAGACUGCCGGUGACAAGCCGGAGGAAGGUGGGGAUGACGUCAAGUCCUCAUGGCCCUUAUGACCAGGGCUUCACACGUCAUACAAUGGUCGGUACAGAGGGUAGCCAAGCCGCGAGGUGGAGCCAAUCUCACAAAACCGAUGUAGUCCGGAUUGCACUCUGCAACUCGAGUGCAUGAAGUCGGAAUCGCUAGUAAUCGCAGUCAGCA